rfam:Gossypium hirsutum cultivar TM-1 chromosome 12, whole genome shotgun sequence
UAUUAAAAUUUCAUCUAUCUGUAUCGUUAAAAAUUGGCGUAAUUGAUAGAAUAACCAAACAGUGACAUAUGGUGUGCCACAUAUAUCUCUUGCUGACAUAUAGAGUCCAAUUUUUAACAGUAAAAAUGAAUAAGAUUUUUAAUA